AGAGUUUGAUCCUGGCUCAGAUUGAACGCUGGCGGCAGGCCUAACACAUGCAAGUCGAACGGUAGCACAGAGAGCUUGCUCUCGGGUGACGAGUGGCGGACGGGUGAGUAAUGUCUGGGAAACUGCCUGAUGGAGGGGGAUAACUACUGGAAACGGUAGCUAAUACCGCAUAACGUCGCAAGACCAAAGAGGGGGACCUUCGGGCCUCUUGCCAUCAGAUGUGCCCAGAUGGGAUUAGCUAGUAGGUGGGGUAAUGGCUCACCUAGGCGACGAUCCCUAGCUGGUCUGAGAGGAUGACCAGCCACACUGGAACUGAGACACGGUCCAGACUCCUACGGGAGGCAGCAGUGGGGAAUAUUGCACAAUGGGCGCAAGCCUGAUGCAGCCAUGCCGCGUGUAUGAAGAAGGCCUUCGGGUUGUAAAGUACUUUCAGCGGGGAGGAAGGUGUUGUGGUUAAUAACCGCAGCAAUUGACGUUACCCGCAGAAGAAGCACCGGCUAACUCCGUGCCAGCAGCCGCGGUAAUACGGAGGGUGCAAGCGUUAAUCGGAAUUACUGGGCGUAAAGCGCACGCAGGCGGUCUGUCAAGUCGGAUGUGAAAUCCCCGGGCUCAACCUGGGAACUGCAUUCGAAACUGGCAGGCUAGAGUCUUGUAGAGGGGGGUAGAAUUCCAGGUGUAGCGGUGAAAUGCGUAGAGAUCUGGAGGAAUACCGGUGGCGAAGGCGCCCCCUGGACAAAGACUGACGCUCAGGUGCGAAGCGUGUGGAGCAACAGGAUUAGAUACCCUGGUAGUCCCGCCGU
rnacentral:rRNA from 1 species